UCAUGCAUNUCGAGCGGACAGAAGGNAGNUUGCUCCCGGAUGUUAGCGGCGGACGGGUGAGUAACACGUGGGUAACCUGCCUGUAAGACUGGGAUAACUCCGGGAAACCGGAGCUAAUACCGGAUAGUUCCUUGAACCGCAUGGUUCAAGGAUGAAAGACGGUUUCGGCUGUCACUUACAGAUGGACCCGCGGCGCAUUAGCUAGUUGGUGGGGUAAUGGCUCACCAAGGCGACGAUGCGUAGCCGACCUGAGAGGGUGAUCGGCCACACUGGGACUGAGACACGGCCCAGACUCCUACGGGAGGCAGCAGUAGGGAAUCUUCCGCAAUGGACGAAAGUCUGACGGAGCAACGCCGCGUGAGUGAUGAAGGUUUUCGGAUCGUAAAGCUCUGUUGUUAGGGAAAAACAAGUGCGAGAGUAACUGCUCGCACCUUGACGGUACCUAACCNGAAAGCCNCGGCUAACUACGUUGCCAGCNGCCGCGGGAAUACGUAGGUGGGG
rnacentral:rRNA from 2 species